rnacentral:rRNA from 1 species
ACGAACGCUGGCGGCGUGCUUAACACAUGCAAGUCGAACGGAAAGGCCCUGCUUUUGUGGGGUGCUCGAGUGGCGAACGGGUGAGUAACACUUGAGUAACCUGCCCUUGACUUUGGGAUAACUUCAGGAACCUGGGGCUAAUACCGGAUAGGAGCUCCUGCUGCAUGGUGGGGGUUGGAAAGUUUCGGCGGUUGGGGAUGGACUCGCGGCUUAUCAGCUUGUUGGUGGGGUAGUGGCUUACCAAGGCUUUGACGGGUAGCCGGCCUGAGAGGGUGACCGGACAAAUUGGGAAUGAGAUACGGCCCAGACUCCUACGGGAGGCAGCAGUGGGGAAUAUUGAACAAUGGGCGGAAGCCUGAUGCAGCAACGCCGCGUGCGGGAUGACGGCCUUCGGGUUGUAAACCGCUUUCGCCUGUGACGAAGCGUGAGUGACGGUAAUGGGUAAAGAAGCACCGGAUAACUACGUG